rnacentral:rRNA from 1 species
GGAGUCUGGGCCGUGUCUCAGUCCCAAUGUGGCCGUCCGCCCUCUCAGGCCGGCUACUGAUCGUCGCUUUGGUGGGCCGUUACCCCGCCAACUGGCUAAUCAGAUGCGGAUCCAUUCCAUCCCGAUAAAUCUUUUCACACCGUAGGAUGCCCUACUGUGCGCUUAUGCGGUAUUACCAGCCGUUUCCAGCUGCUAUCCCCCUGGAUGGACCAGGUUAUCCACACGUUACUCACCCGUCCGCCACUAAGCUACGACAAGAUUCUCUUCGUACAAGUACUCCAAUCAUCAGCGUCGCAGCUCCGUUCGACUUGCAUGUGUUAGGCACGCCGCCAGCGUUCAUC